CUACGGGCCGCUGCAGUGGGGAAUAUUGCACAAUGGGCGCAAGCCUGAUGCAGCCAUGCCGCGUGUAUGAAGAAGGCCUUCGGGUUGUAAAGUACUUUCAGCGGGGAGGAAGGGAGUAAAGUUAAUACCUUUGCUCAUUGACGUUACCCGCAGAAGAAGCACCGGCUAACUCCGUGCCAGCAGCCGCGGUGAAUACGGAGGGUGCAAGCGUUAAUCGGAAUUACUGGGCGUAAAGCGCACGCAGGCGGUUUGUUAAGUCAGAUGUGAAAUCCCCGGGCUCAACCUGGGAACUGCAUCUGAUACUGGCAAGCUUGAGUCUCGUAGAGGGGGGUAGAAUUCCAGGUGUAGCGGUGAAAUGCGUAGAGAUCUGGAGGAAUACCGGUGGCGAAGGCGGCCCCCUGGACGAAGACUGACGCUCAGGUGCGAAAGCGUGGGGAGCAAACAGGAUUAGAUACCCCAGUAGUC
rnacentral:rRNA from 1 species